UACGUAGGGUGCAAGCGUUAUCCGGAAUUAUUGGGCGUAAAGAGCUCGUAGGCGGUUUGUCACGUCUGCUGUGAAAACUGGAGGCUCAACCUCCAGCCUGCAGUGGGUACGGGGCAGACUAGAGUGCGGUAGGGGAGAUUGGAAUUCCUGGUGUAGCGGUGGAAUGCGCAGAUAUCAGGAGGAACACCAAUAGCGAAGGCAGCUCGCUGGGACGUACUGACACUGGAGGCGCGAAAGCUGGGGAGCAAC
rnacentral:rRNA from 1 species